rnacentral:tRNA from 1 species
AAUAAAGUGCCUGAUAAAAGGAUUAUUUUGAUAGAAUAAAUUAUGUAUUGUAUACCUUUAUUA